CCAAUAGCGUAUAUUAAAGUUGUUGCAGUUAAAAAGCUCGUAGUUGAAUUUCGGGACCAAUAUGUCGGUCGUGCCUCGGUACGCACUGGCUUAUUGGUUUCUCCUUUCUGAAGAACCAUGAUGUCAUUCAUUUGGUGUCGUGGGGAAUCAGGACUGUUACUUUGAAAAAAUUAGAGUGUUUAAAGCAGGCUCACGCUUGAAUACAUUAGCAUGGAAUAAUGAAAUAGGACGUUUGAUUCUAUUUUGUUGGUUUCUAGGAUCGACGUAAUGAUUAAUAGGGAUAGUUGGGGGCAUUAGUAUUCAAUUGUCAGAGGUGAAAUUCUUGGAUUUAUUGAAGACUAACUACUGCGAAAGCAUUUGCCAAGGAUGUUUUCAUUAAUCAAGAACGAAAGUUAGGGGAUCGAAGACGAUCAGAUACCGUCGUAGUCUUAACCAUAAACUAUGCCGACUAGGGAUCGGAUGAUGUUAAUUUUUUAAUGACUCAUUCGGCGCCUUACG
rnacentral:rRNA from 1 species